rnacentral:lncRNA from 1 species
GGUUUAACAUCAUCAUUUUCGUCAUUCACACAGUUCAAUCUAAUUUUAUGGGUUUAACAUCAACAUUUCAUCAUUUCCACAAUUCAAUCCAAUUUCAUAGGUUUAACAACAACAUUUUCAUCAUUCACACAAUUCAAUCAAAUUUCAUAGGUUUAACAACAACACCUUCAUCAUUCCCAUAAUUCAAUCAAAUAUCAUGGGUUUAACAUCAUCAUUUUCGUCAUUCACACAGUUCAAUCAAAUUUCAUGGGUUUAACAUCAACAUUUCAUCAUUUUCACAAUUCAACCAAAUUUCAUGGGUUUAACAACAACAUUGUCAUCAUUCCCACAAUUCAAUCAAAUUUCAUGGGUUUAACAUCAACAUUUUCAUCAUUCCCACAAUUCAAUCAAAAUUCAUGUGUUUAAUAACAAUAUUUCCAUUAUUCCCACAAUUCAAUCAAAUUACCAACUGGGACGGAGGAGAGAAAAGAGAGAAGAUGGUUAACAACAACAUUUUAUCUCAUUCCCACAAUUCAUUAUAAUUUCAUGGGUUUAACAUCAACAUUUUCAUCAAUUCCCACAUUCAAUCAAAAUUCAUGUGUUUAAUAACAACAUUUCAUUCAUUCCACGCAAUCAAUCCAAUUCAUGAGUUUAACAACAACUUUCAUUCAUUUUUUCACAACUCAAUCAAAUUUCUUGGGUUUAACAUAACAUUUCAUCAUUUCACCAUUCAAUCAANNNNNNNNNNNNNNNNNNNNNNNNNCAAUUUCAUGGAUGUAACAACAACAAUUUUCUCGCACUUUCACAAUUUCAAUCAAAUUUCAUAGGUUUAACAACAACACACUUCAUCAUCACGAUAAUGUCAGAUCCAAUUUCAUGUGGUUUAACAAUCAGUAUUGUUUUCAUAUUGCCCAGUAAUUCAAUCAGGUAACUCACAUUUCCAUGGUCCCAUUCAAAUAAUAGUCACAACAUUUCUUCCUCACACAUCAGAUCAAUUUCAGGUUAACAAACUUUCAUCAUUCCAAAACAUUCAUCGGUUAACAUCAACAUUUUCGAUCAACACACACAAUUCGAUUGAUUUUAAGGGUUUAAACAAAAUAAUUUUAUUAUUUCAUAUAUUUCAACAAAGUUCUGUUUAACAACAAUAUUUUUCAUUUGAUCACACAAUUUCAAUCACAAUUUCAGGGUUUAAUCAUCAUAUUUUCAUCAUCUCACAAUUCAAUCAAUUUCAUGGGAUUGAAACAUCAUCAUUUCAUCAUUCACCACAAUUUCAAUCAAUUUCUGUUUUUAACGUCAUCAUUUUUUAUCAUUCACACAAUUCAAUCAAAUUUCAUGGGUUUAAACACAUACGCUUUCAUCCAUUUCUACAAUUCAAUCAACAUGUUCAUAGGUUUAACAGACAUUUCAUCAUUCACACAGUUCAAUAAAAGUUUGACUAGGUUUAACAUAAUCGUCAUAUUCCAUAACAAUCAUUUCUGGUUCACAUAUUUCCAUCAAGUUAAAAAUUUCAUGGUUACUCAACAUCUCAUUCAUUAAUCAAAUCAGUUAAACAACAUUUUCAUCCAUUACACAAUUCAAUCAAUAGUUUACAACAUUUUAGUAUCCCUAACAACCAAACAUGUUUACAACACUUUCUAUUCACACAAUUCAAUCCAAAUUUCAUAGGGUUAAAAUCAACAUUUUCUAUCACUUCACACAAUUCAAUAAAGAUUCAGUGUGUUUAAUAACAACAUUUUCAUUAUUCCCACGAAUUCAAUAAAUUCCACGGUUUUUUAACAACAACAUUUUCAUCAUUCCACAAUUCAAUCAAAUUCUUGGUCUAACAUCAAAAUGUCAUCAUUUCGAUAAUUCAACCAAAUUUCAUGGUUAACAACACAUUUUAUUCAUUCCCACAAUUCAAUAAAAUUUCAUGGGUGUACAUCAACAUUUUCAUCAUUCCCACAUUCAAUCAAAAUUCAUGUGUUUAAUAACAACAUUUUAUUCAUUCACACAAUGCAAAUCCAAUCAUGAUUUAACAACAACAUUUCAUCAUUUUCACAAUUCAAUCAAAUAUUUUCAUGAGGUUUAACAGACAACGACUUUCAUCAUUCACAUAAUGCAAUCAAAUUUCAUUAGGUUUAACAGAACAACAUUUUAUCAUUCCAUAAUUCAAUCAAAUUUCAUGGAUUAUACACAAACCAUUUUCAUCAUUCCCCUAAUUCAAUCAAAUUUUAUCGGUUAAACACAACCAUUUUCGUCAUCAUUCACACAAUUCAAUAAAUUUCAAAGGGGGCUUUUUUUUUAACAACAAAACGCAAACGGUAAUUUUUUUCGUUUUCAGCCGAAUUUUUUUCCAUUCUCUAUUUUUUUCUUUUUCAUCUACAAUUCAAUACCAAUUUCUAGUAUACACAACAACAUUUUCAUCAUUCACACAAUUCAAUAAAAAUAUUCAUGUGUUUAAUAACGAACAUUUUCAUACUAUUCCCACAAAUUUCAAUAAAAUUCCACGGGUUCUAACAACAACUUGUUUAUCAUUCGCCCACAAAUUCAAUCAACAUUUCCAUGGGUCUAACACUCAAAAUGUCAGUCAUUUCAAAUUCAACCAAAUUCAUGGGUUAACACACAACAUUUUAUUCAUUCCACAAUUCAGAUAAAAUUCAUGGGUUUCAACAUCAACAUCUUUCAUCGCAUUCCACAAUUCAAUCAACAAUUAAUGUGUUUAAAUAACAACAUUUUAUCAUUCACACAACUUCAAUCCAAUUUCAUGGAGUUUAACAACAACAAUUUCUCAUUCAUUUUCACAAUUCCAAUCAAAUUUCAUAGGUUUACAAACACACCACUUCAUCAUUCACAUAAAUCAAUCAAUUUUCAUAGGUAACAACAACAAUCUUUUUAUCAUUCCUUAUCAUUCCCUAUUCAAUCAAAAUUUCAUGAUGGAUUACACACAUUUUCAUAUUCCCAUAAUUCAAUCAAAUUUCAUCGGCUUAACAUCAACAUUUUCAUCAUUUUACACCAAUUCAAUCAGGAUUUUAAGGUUUAACAACAAUAAUUUUUAUUCAUUCAUAUAUUUCAAUCAAAUUUCGUGGUUUAACAACAAUGAUUUUCAUUUAUUACACAAUUCAAUCAAAUUUCAUGGAGUUUAACAUCCAUAAUUUCAUCAUUCUCACAAUUCAAUCAAAUUCGAGGAAUUAACAUUACCAACAUGCGACUUUCCAUGCCGAUUCUCCCGACGAAUUCAAUAAAUUCAUGUUUUUUAACCGCGUUCAAUUGUAUAUUCACACAAUUCAAUCAAAAUUUCAUAGUUUAACAACAACAUUUUUCAUCAUUCAGACAAAUUCAAUGCAAAUUUCAUGAGUUAACAUCAUCAUUUUCAUCAUUCACCAGUCAAUAAAAUAUGUAUGGGUAACAUCAACAUGGUUCAUCAUUUCCACAAUUCAAUAAAAAUUUUCAUAGGUUUUAACAACACAUUUUCAUCAUUCACACAAUUCAAUCAAAUGUUCAUAGGGCUUUAACAACAAAGUUUCCAUCAUUCACACAAAUUUCCAAUCCAACUUCAUAGUAUAACAACAACAUUCGUCAUUCACACAAUUCAAUAAAAAUAUCAGUGGUUUAAUAACAACACAUUUCCAUUUAUUUCCCACAAGUUCAAUAAAAUUCCACGGCUUUAACAACACCAUUUUCAUCAUUGCCACAAUUCAAUAAAUUUUCUUGGGUCUAACUUAAAAUGUCAUCAUUUCGAUAAUUCAACCAAAUUUCAUGUUUAACAAAAACAUUUUAUUCAUGCCCACAAUCAAUAAAAUUUCAUGGUUUUGAACAUCAACAUUUUCAUCAAUUCCCACAUUCAAUCAAAAUUCAUGUGUUUUAUAACAACAUUUAUUCAUUCAUACCAAUUCAAUCCAAUUUAAUGGAUUUAACAACCAACGAUUUCAUCAUCUUUCAGCAAUGUCAAUCAAAUUUCAUAGUUAACAACAAACACUUCAUCAUUCACAUUAAUUUCAAUCAAAUUUCAUAGGUUAACACAAACAUUUUUACUCAUUCCCAUAAUUCAAUCAAAUUUCAUGAUUGAACACAAACAUUUUCAUCAUUUUCACUCAGUUCAAUAAAUAUUGCUAUGGGUUUAACAUCAACAUUUCCAUCAUUUCCACAAUCAUAAAAUUUCACUAGGUGUUGAACAUCAACAUUUCACAUUCAAACAAUUUCAAUAAUUUUCAUAGAUUUAACAACGAACGCUUUCCAUCAUCACACAAUUCAAUCCGAAUUUCAUAGGUAUAACACAACGAUUUUCAUCAUGUCACACCAAUUCAAUAAAAUAAGUGUUAAUAACAACAUUUCAUUUAUUCCGACCAAUUCAAUAAAAUUCCAGGGUUUAACAACAACAUUUUCAUAUAUACACAAUUAACAAUUUUCUCGGGUCUAACAGCAAGAAUGUCUCAUUUCGAUAAUUCAAUCCAAAUUUCAUGGGUUUAACAACAACGAUUUUAUCAUUUCCCACAAUUCAAUAAAAAAUUUCAUGCGGUUUAACAGUCAAAGCAUUCAUCAUUCCACAAUUCAAUCAAAUUUCAGUGUUUAAUACAACAUUUAUCAUUCACACCAAAUUCAAUCCAAUUUUCAUGGAUUAGACAACAACAUUCAAUCAUUUUCUAAUUCCAAUCAAAUUUCAUAGGUUUAAACAACAACACUUUCAGCAUUCACAUAUUUCAAUCAAAUUUCAUAGGAUUUAACAACAAAACAUUUUUAUCAUUCCCAUAAUUCAAUCAAAUUUCAUUGGAUUUAACACAACAUUUUCCAUCAUUCCCAUGAAUUCAGUCCAAAUUUAUCGGUUCUUAACAUCAACAUUUCAUUCAUUCACACAAUCAAUCAGAUUUAAGGGUUUAAACAAAAUAAUUUUUAUCAUCAUUUAUAUUUCAAUCAAAUUUCGUGGGUUUAACACCAAUAUUUUCAUUGAUCACACAAUUCCAAUCAAAUUUCAUGGGUUUAAACUUCAUAAUUUUCAUCAUUCUUCACCAAUUCAAUCACAAUUUCAUGGAGCAUGCGAGCUCGUCUCCAUCGUCGUGCCUGUGUACUUCAAGCACUAUCAUCUUUCAUCAGAAUUCUCCACAGACGUUCAAUCAAAUUUUCAUGUUUUAACGUCAUUCAUUUUUAUUCAUUCACACAAUUCAAUUUCAAAUUUUCAUAGGUUUAACAACAACUUCAUCAUUCAGACAAUUCAAUCAAUUUAUGAGUUUAACAUCAUCAUUUUCAUCAUUCACUCAGUUCAAAUAAAAUUGUAUGGGUUAACAUCGAACAUUUCAUCAUUUCCAAAUUUCAAUUAAAAUUCAUAGGUUUAACAACAAACAUUUUCAUCAUUCACACAAUCUCAAUCAAAUUCAUAGUUAACAACAAAUGUCUCCAUCAUUCACAACAAUGCAAUCCAAUUGUCAUAGUAUAACAGAACAACAUUUUCAUCAUUCACACAAUUCAAUAAAAAAUUAUCAUGGCUGUUUAAGAUAACAACAUUUUCAUUAUUCCCACAGAUUCAAUAAAAUUCACGGGUUUAACAACAACAGUUUGCAUCAUUCCCACAAUUCAAUCAACAUGGUCUAACAUCAAAAUUUCAUCAUUUCAUAAUUCAACCAAAUUAUUCAGGUUUUUUAACAAACAACAUUUUAUUCAUUCCCACAAUCAAUAAAAUUUCAUGGGUUAUAACAUUCAACAUUUUCAUCAUUCCCACAAUUCAAUCAAAAUUCAUGUUGUUUUAUAACAACAUUUAUCAUUCAUACACAUUCAAUCCAAUUUCAUGGAUUUAAGCAACAACAUUCAUCAUUUUCACAAAUUCAAUCAAAUUUCAUAGGUUUAAACAACAACACUUUCAUCAUUCACAGUAAUUCAAUCAAAUUUCAUAGGUUUAACAACAACAUUUUUAUCAUUCCCAUAAAUUCAAAUCAAAUUUCGAUGGAUUAACACAACAUUUUCAUUCAUUCACCAGUUCUAAUAAUAAUUGUAGGCUGUACAUCAACAUUUCAUUCAUUUCCACAAUCAAUAAAAUUCCAUAGGUUUUAACAGUCACCGAUUUUCAUCAUUCAAACAAUUCAAGCUUAAUUUCAUAGAUUUAACAACAACGUUUCCAUCAUCACACAAUUCAUCCAAUUUCAUAGGUAUUAACAAACAAACAUUUUCAUUCAUUCACACAAAUUCAAAUAAAAUAUCACUGGUUUAAUAACAAACAUUUUCAUUAUUCCACAUUCAAUAAAAUUCCACGGGUUUAACAACAACAUUUUCAUCAUUCCCACAAUUAAAUCAAAUUUCUCGGGUCUAACAUCAAAAUGUCAUAUUUCGAUAAUCAACCAAUUCAUGGGUUUAACAACAACAUUUUAUUCAAUCUCCCAUCAAUUCAAUAAAAUUAUGGUUUAACACAACUUUUCAUCAUUCCCACAAUUCAAUCAAAAUUCAUGUGUUUAUAACAACGAUUUUAUUCCAUUUCACACAUUCAAUCCAAUUUCAUGAUUUGAACAACAACAUUCAUUCAUUUUCAUUAAUUCAAUCAAAUUUCAUAGGUUUAACAAAACACUUUCAUCAUAUCAUCAUAUUCAAUCGAAAUUUAUAGGUUUAACAACAACAUUUUUUAUCAUUCCAUAAUUCAAUCAAAUCUUCAGGAUUAACACAACAUUUCAUCUUCCCAUAAUUCAGUCAGCAUCUUAUCGAAUCGCCUGUGUCACUUGCGUCUGGUGAUUUCAUAGGUUUAACAACAACAUUUUCAUCAUUCCCACAAUUCAUUCAAAUUUCAUGGGUUUAACAUCAUCAUUUUCAUCAUUCACACAGUUCAAUCAAAUUUCAUGGGUUUAACAUCAACAUUUCCUCAUUUCCACGAUUCAAUCAAAUUUCACAAGUUUAACAACAACAUUUUCAUCAUUCACACAAUUCAAUCUAAUUUCAUAGGUUUAACAACAGCCUUUUCAUCAUUCCCAUAAUUCAAUCAAAUUUCAUCGGUUUAACAUCAACAUUUUCAUCAUUCACACAAAUCAAUUAGAUUUUAAGGGUUUAACAAAAUAAUUUUUAUUAUUCAUAUAUUUCAAUCAAAUUUCAUGGUUUUAACAACAAUAUUUUCAUUUAAUCACACAAUUCAAUCAAAUUUCGAGGGUUUAACAUCAUCAUUUACAUCAUUCCCACAAUUCAAUCAAAUUUCAUGGGAUUAACAUCAUAAUUUUUAUUAUUCAUAUAUUUCAAUCAAAUUUCAUGGUUUUAACAACAAUAUUUUCAUUUAAUCACACAAUUCAAUCAAAUUUCAUGGGUUUAACAUCAUCAUUUACAUCAUUCCCACAAUUCAAUCAAAUUUCAUGGGAUUAACAUCAUCAUUUUCAUCAUUCCCACAAUUCUAUCAAAUUUCCUGUUUUUAACGUCAUCACUUUUAUCAUUCACACAAUUCAAUCGAAUUUCAUGGGUUUAACAUCAACAUUUUCAUCAUUCCCACAAUUCAAUCAAAAUUCAUGUGUUUAAUAACAACAUUUCCAUUAUUCCCACAAUUCAAUCAAAUUUCAUGGGUUUAACAACAACAUUUUCAUNNNNNNNNNNNNNUUUUCAUCAUUCCCAUAAUUCAAUCAAAUUUCAUCGGUUUAACAUCAACAUUUUCAUCAUUCACACAAUUCAAUUAGAUUUUAAGGGUUUAACAAAAUAAUUUUUAUUAUUCAUAUAUUUCAAUCAAAUUUCAUGGGUUUAACAUCAUCAUUUUCAUCAUUCACAUAAUUCAAUCAAAUUUCAUGGGAUUAACAUCAUCAUUUUCAUCAUUCCCACAAUUCAAUCAAAUUUCCUGUUUUUAACGUCAUCACUUUUAUUAUUCACACAAUUCAAUCGAAUUUCAUGGGUUUAACAUCAACUUUUCAUCAUUUCUACAAUUCAAUCAAAUUUCAUAGGUUUAACAACAAAAUUUUCAUCAUUCACAGGUUUAACAACAUCACUUUCAUCAUUCCCAUAAUUCAAUCAAAUUUCAUGGGUUUAACAUCAUCAUUUUCGUCAUUCACACAGUUCAGUCAAAUUUCAUGGGUUUAACAUCAACAUUUCAUCAUUUCCACAAUUCAAUCAAAUUUCAUAGGUUUAACAACAACAUUUUCAUCAUUCACACAAUUCAAUCAAAUUUUAUAGG